rnacentral:sRNA from 1 species
AAACCUUUUCAUAUCAUUCUUUUCUUUUCUCUUAACUCUAGGAGAAGCUUUCUCAACACUCUGAUACAUCUAGCGGAUUUGGAUUUCUUUAACAACUAAGGUUCCUGUUUUUAAUCUUUAAAACCAAAGGCUUUUAACCCUUCUUCUUUAGCUAACAAGAACCUCAUUCUUUCUUUAACAUUCCCAAAACCUUUACUAGAUUAUUUUCUAACUUCUUUAGCUUACUUCCCCUAGAAUUCUUUCCCUUUCCUUAUCAACAAUGAAUUCACCCUUUUCUUUUAAACACAUCCCAACCCAUGAUAUAAGCGCCCACCUAGUCCUAUCCAGUCCGAAGAACGCGAACUAGAACUACAUGAGACACUAUCUCUGUCAUUACGAACCUAACACUUUCUACCAAGCUCAAUCGAAAUAAGACCUCACAAACACUCACAAGUGAUAUAGGGCUUGAAAGAAAGUUUAGGUUUGGGUUCGGGUUAACUGCUCUAAUAAGGAGAGUCAGCUACUUGGAUUAACAAGAGUGGUC